rnacentral:rRNA from 1 species
AUACGUAGGGGGCGAGCGUUGUCCGGAAUGAUUGGGCGUAAAGGGCGCGUAGGCGGCUUUGCAAGUCAGUAGUGGAAGUCCAUUUUUCAAGGAUGGAAGUGCUACAGAAACUGCGGAGCUUGAGUGCAGGAGAGGUCAUCGGAAUUCCCGGUGUAGCGGUGAAAUGCGUAGAGAUCGGGAGGAACACCAGUGGCGAAGGCGGGUAACUGGACUGCAACUGACGCUGAGGCGCGAAAGUGUGGGGAGCAAACAGGAUUAGAUACCCUGGUAGUCCACACUGUAAACGAUGAAUGCUAGGUGUAGGAGGUAUCGACCCCUUCUGUGCCGCAGUAAACACAGUAAGCAUUCCGCCUGGGGAGUACGGUCGCAAGAUUAAAACUCAAAUGAAUUGACGGGG